GAUGAAGAACGUAGCGAAAUGCGAUAAGUAAUGUGAAUUGCAGAAUUCAGUGAAUCAUCGAAUCUUUGAACGCACCUUGCACCCUUUGGCAUUCCGAAGGGUAUGCUCGUUUGAGUGUCAUUGUACUCUCACACUUCCAAUCUUUGGAUCGGGAGUGGUGGACUUGGGUGUUGCUGCUUUACCGUGGCUCACCUCAAAUGGAUUCGUGCAACUCCUGGUUGGACAUAGUACGGCGUGAUAAGUGUCUUCGCCGGCACCUCACUAGAGGGUGGCUGACCGGGAGCUCUGUGCUUCAAACCGUCUUCGGACAACAACUGACAACUUGACCUCAAAUCGAGUAGGACCACCCGCUGAACUUAAGCAUAUCAAUAAGCGGAGGA
rnacentral:misc_RNA from 1 species